rnacentral:rRNA from 1 species
AACGAACGCUGGCGGCAGGCCUAACACAUGCAAGUCGAACGGGCGUAGCAAUACGUCAGUGGCGGACGGGUGAGUAACACGUGGGAAUAUGCCUUUCGGUUCGGAACAACUCGGGGAAACUCGUGCUAAUUCCGGAUACGCCCUUACGGGGAAAGGAUUAUCGCCGAAGAUUAGCCCGCGUUGGAUUAGCUAGUUGGUGAGGUAACGGCCCACCAAGGCAACGAUCCAUAGCUGGUUUGAGAGAACGACCAGCCACACUGGGACUGAGACACGGCCCAGACUCCUACGGGAGGCAGCAGUGGGGAAUCUUGGACAAUGGGGGAAACCCUGAUCCAGCCAUGCCGCGUGAGUGAUGAA